GCAGGUGAAAACAACGUUAAGCGAUGAACGUUGUUCUCCGUAAUUGUAGUUUUUCUCACAUAAGUCUUUAUACAGAAUAAUUGCCCAUUCUUGUGCCGAUAUUAUUUUAUAAUAUCGGCUUUU
rnacentral:ncRNA from 22 species